rnacentral:rRNA from 1 species
GACGAACCGUGCGAACGUUGUUCGGAAUCACUGGGCUUAAAGGGCGCGUAGGCGGCUGCGCAAGUCCGGGGUGAAAGCCCCCAGCUCAACUGGGGAAGUGCCUUGGAUACUGUGCAGCUCGAGCGAGGUAGGGGUCGUGGGAACUUCCGGUGGAGCGGUGAAAUGCGUUGAUAUCGGAAGGAACGCCGGUGGCGAAAGCGCACGACUGGACCUCUUCUGACGCUGAGGCGCGAAAGCCAGGGAGCAAACGGG